CUUCCCAGGGAAGAAGAAAAUUGAAAAAUCUGAAAAGGAAAGUAAAGGAGAAGAUUUUGAAGAUGUACCGGCUCCAAAGACAGUUAAAGAAACUGAAGACGUGUCUUCCCCAAAGAAGCAAAAAAGUCCCAUCAGUUUCUUCCAGUGUGUUUACUUGGAUGGGUACAAUGGCUAUGGAUUUCAGUUUCCUGUCACUCCUGCACAACGCCCUGGAGAGAACCCUGGCAAACCAAAUUCUCCAGGACAGAAGUAACAGGGACAGUAGAAACACAAACAUGACCCUUAUAAGUGCUUUAAAAUUAUAAAAAUGGGAUCUUCUGUUUUGUUCACAGUGACACAGGCAAUGGAAAUCAUGCAAUCCAGUUUUUUUUUUUUAAAUAACAUUUUACACUUCUGCCUGGUAUAGAGACAGGGUAGUCAAAGGGAUUGAAUAAUAAGCAAACAUGUUGAAGGGUCUGGUGAUCAAGAAUAUGUUAUUACUGUUUGUUGCUUUGGAGUAGGAGAUGCUUAUAUUUUUCUAUUUCCACUCACUGGAAGGUUGCACACAAAUCAAUAUAAAGUUUACUUCAUACUGGUCUUUUAAAUGUGAUUGAUGCAAUUACAAAAUGAAAAUCCUGAUUUCAGUUUGAUUUUCAUUUUUCAAAUAUAGACUGCAUUCUAAGUUUAAAGGGUACAAAAGCUUAUUUUAAAGUGACUCUUCUGUGUCAUGUGGAUAUCUAAGCUCACUUUACUUAAUAAGAUGAUGCUGAAUAGUUUCAUUCUGUUCAAUCUGUUUCUAUUUUAGUAGUGUCAAUGCUCUAGAAUGGAUAACACUUGCACCAAAGAGUGCUCCAAGUUCCUAGUGAUAUUCUUGGAGCUCAAAAUGUCUCUGAACUUUAGACAUGAAAAGAUAGAUAACAAAUGCUUGGUGAAUCUUAUCUCUAAGAUUAACCAUGAACUACAAUUAAGAUAUUUACUCCAGUAGAUGUAUACCUCCAAUUAGGCAGGUCUGCUGAGUUAUUUGUUUGAAAUAUAAGUAAAUGUAAUGGGGAUUUUCAGAUUUCUCCACACUGUUUCUUCAUGAAAAUGUCACCUGGAUGAAACUUUAGAUCAAUGAUUAAAUGUGGGUGACAGAUGCAAAAUUAUUUAAUUUCACUUAAAUAUAUUAUCUUGGUGAAAUUGUCUUUUCUUUUUCAAAAUGAAAAAAAUAUGAGUGCCAUCAAAGUUUAAGGGAGACAUUUUAACCAUAGUUGUCUUCAUGAGAUAUCUUACUUGCUUUCAGGUAAUCAUUGCUCAUGACAUGGAUGAUGAUUUUUAACUUUCUUGACAUUGUAUCACUGGAGAUGACUGUUAUGGUUUUGUCAUCUUCCUAAUGAUACACAUACUCAGGUUCUUACGACAUUUUUCUAUCAACUCUGAAAGUCAUGUCUCUGCAAUCUAAUAUCAUGUUUACAAUUGCAAAUGAACUUACGACAAAGUAACUCAUUAAUAAUUUGAGUUAUUCUUUCGGGUGUUACAAUGAUUUUGCAAGGUCUAAGCUAGCCAGAACCUAUAUAGUCACGUGAUUUAUUUUCAAGGACUACGACCAACUAAGGUUGUUGAGACUCAAGGUAUGAUCAGUUUUACAAAAAUCCUUAGUAAUACAUUCAUUAUUAAUAAUGGAUUUUCACAGACUUUUGUGGAAGAAGUUGGUCUUGGCCAGGUAAUGGGAGACCCAAUAUACACCACAAAAGCCAACAUUACAAUAAACCAGAUUAAUAGCAUCCUUUUUUUUUUGUGGGGAGGGGGUGACCUGGAAGUGUGUAAUUUCAGGUCUGACCAGAUGGUACCAUCUUUCAAAGCCCCUUCAUAUACUGAUGUUCAUUUAUGAGUAGGACAGUAGAUAAUGUUUAUUGUUCAACUGUUCCUCUACCUGUUAUAAUUACUAGGAAAAGGAAUGGGAGAAAAUAUGAUAGCCAUCUUAUGUGUUAUAGAACAGAAUGGUUUAUCCAUUGAAUGGCUAUCUUUCAAUGACUAUAUAUUGAGCAGUUACUCUUUCUAUGCUAUGUUAGGCACUGAACUUCAUAAGAAAAAUACAAGGAUAAUUCUGUUCCUACUGCUAUCCUGACAUAGUAUGUGACCUUAAAAACCACCAAAUGGACUGUUUGUGUCUCUCUGUGUAAAAUAGGGAUAUCAAGAUACACAGCCUCAUAUAUCACAUCACCUCAUAUCUUACAGAGGUACUAUGAAGACUGAUACAAUAUCUUGAUAUGGAUAUAAUAUUUAAGUAAAUUUCUGAGUUGAUACUUUUGGAUAUGGAACUCAUUUUCUCUCUGAGAGGUUUUCUAUAUUACAUUGUCAUUUAUUUCACUCUCAUUGUGAAAACUGAUAUAUAUUAAAAUGUAGUGUACUUUGUUGAAAUUAGAAUUAAAAUGAACAAUUUAAAUGUAAACAGCAUAAUAAUUAUAAAGGUUUAUCUGAUUUAAGUUAUAAUAAUAGCACUUUAGAUAUGUCAUCUAAACUGUCAUCUGUAGGUUUCUAUCAAAUAAAAAAUACUUUUGAUCCUUUCAA